UGAGCCAUCCAGGAGGAGGCCAUGAGUCUCCAUGUGAUGAUCGACCUCCAACGAGGGAACAUCCUAGAGGCUCCAGUAGAAAUCUUACACCAAGGGGCUUUCUCAGGAAGGAUCACCCAUCUUAGAUCUCCAUGUCCUCCCAAACUUCAUCCAGACUGCAACCUCAAAGAAGAUAAGAGGGCCUCAACUGAAGCAUAAUGGGAACCACAUCUAGUAUGAUGGCCCAAAUUGUCAUUAAGUCAAUAGUGCACCAUUCAAGAGGAAUGCCAUAUGCUACCCAAAGGGAGUGUGCUCUAAGAACUGCUACGGUCAAAACAUUUUGGAGUAUACAGGAAUGUUGGCGGAGAAAUCAAGUAAUGGAAUCUCUGGUUCAGG